AUCACUGCAUAACAGGUUCAACAGAGCUGAUAUCGACUAAGAACGACUCACAGGUGACGAAUAUAACACAGCAAACAUAUUACCAACGGAUGGCCGCCACAAAACAUAAUUUAUCACCGGUUAUGUCGCUUCCAUCAGAAACAGAUGUAUAUAUAGAACGAGAUGCCAGUUGCGCUUACAGAACACAGGUCGUUAACAAAGUGCUUUUGAAUAGCCAUAAGUAUGGUCGCUAGCUGCUCCGUUUAAUUAAACCCUGUUAUUGUCAGCUAUGUAACAAAGCCCUCCAAAAGCAACUACUAGGGCGGCAGCU